UACAGAGGGGGCAAGCGUUGUUCGGAAUUACUGGGCGUAAAGGGCGCGUAGGCGGCCUUCUAAGUCGAACGUGAAAUCCCCGGGCUCAACCCGGGAACUGCGUCCGAGACUGGGAGGCUAGAAUCCGGGAGAGGGAUGUGGAAUUCCAGGUGUAGUGGUGAAAUGCGUAGAUAUCUGGAGGAACACCGGUGGCGAAGGCGGCAUUCUGGACCGAAACUGACGCUGAGGCGCGAAAGCGUGGGGAGCAAACAGG
rnacentral:rRNA from 1 species